rnacentral:rRNA from 1 species
GCAAGUCGAACGCGAAAGUGACUUCGGUAAUGAUUAGAGUGGCGCACGGGUGAGUAACGCGUGGAUGAUCUAGCCUACAGCGGGGGAUAACUUCGGGCAACCGGGGCUAAUACCGCAUACGAUCGGGUUUCGAACCCCGAUGAAAGCCCGCCUCUAUACUAUGCGGGCACUGUAGGAUGAAUCUGCGUCUCAUUAGCUAGUCGGUGGGGUAACGGCCUACCGAGGCGACGAUGAGUAGCGGGCUUGAGAGGGUGGC